CUCUGGCUGUACCGGGUGGACAUGGUGCCCCACCGGAGAUCCACACCGACGAUCCACGCGGAUCACGGCUGCGCGACCAUAAUAUAGAGCAGGACAGACGGACAGCAGCUGAGGACUUCCGACACUUCCUGAAAUGGCCGGCAUGAGAACUGUGGAGUGAGGAGAAACACGAGUCCAAGGCGAUGUCAGUGAUUUCCUCCCCUCUGCAAAAUCUGCUCCAGAAGUUUCUGCAAAAAAAUAAA